rnacentral:rRNA from 1 species
UACAGAGGGUGCGAGCGUUAAUCGGAAUUACUGGGCGUAAAGCGUGCGUAGACGGUUAUUUAAGUCGGAUGUGAAAGCCCCGGGCUCAACCUGGGAAUUGCAUUCGAGACUGAAUAGCUAGGGUACGGUAGAGGGAAGUGGAAUUUCCGGUGUAGCGGUGAAAUGCGUAGAUAUCAGGAGGAACACCGGUGGCGAAGGCGCACAUCUGGCCCGAUACUGACGCUGAGGCGCGAAAGCUAGGGGAGCAAACGGG